UAUAUAGUCUCAGGAACCCGCCCGGUGGAUGCCUGGGCUCGGAAGCCGAAGAAGGGCGUGGCAAGCUGCGAAAAGCUGGAGGGAGGUGCAUGCAACCGUUGAUCUCCAGAUUCCCGAAUGGGAUAUCCUGCCAAAAGGCAUCCCGUAAGGGAGGGGAACGCGGGGAAGGGAAACAUCUUAGUACCCGCAGGAAUAAAAAACAAUUUGUGAUUUCCUGAGUAGGGGCGACCGAAAGGGAAGGAGCCCAAACUGAAUCCUCUAAAGUAAUUUAGAGGAGAUGUGGGGUAAAGGAACGGGAGCUUCCCGUUAUUAUAUCCUCAGAACUCCGGUGAAAGUCCGGGGCCAUAGAGGGUGACAGCCCCGUAUGGGGAUAUAAUAGUGGGAUUUCCCGUUUCCGGAGUACCGGCGGUUGGAUUUCCGUCGGGAAUUUGGGGGAAACUAGCCCCCAAGGCUAAAUACUCUCCGAGUCCGAUAGCGUAUCAGUAGGGCGACCGAAAGGUGAAAAGAACCCUUGGCAGGGGGUGAAAAGAGCCUGAAACCGGGCGGGGAUUGUCUGGUAGGGCUAGUUAAGCACCUUAUCUGGGAAAAUCUGGUGACAGAUGAGUACCAGAUAGGGUGCUAGCUAGUUCUACCGUGAGUUUUGAAGAACUUGCGGGGGAGUAUACCCGAGUGGCGAGGUUAAGGUUUAUACCGAAGCCAUAGGGAAACCGAAAGCCCGUAACCUGGUUUCCAGGUGAGGGGCACCGUCCCAUAAGGGCGGUUUAGUCACUCGGGUAUGACCGGAAGCCGGGCGAUCUACCCCGGGGCAGGGCGAAGCGGGGUUUCCCGUGGAGGCCCGAAGAGGUGGGGCUUAUCUCUCUCAUGACCUCGGGGUAGAGGUGAAAAGCCACUCGGGCCCGGUUAUAGCCGGUCCCCGCCGAAACUGACCCCAGCCAGGUCUCGGGUUGGGAUCCCUAUGGUGUAGAGAUACGGAUUCUGUACGGGUUUCCGUACGGAGUCCAACUCCGAAGCCAUAGGGUCCGUAGCCCGGGAAACGGGGAUUGCGGGAAAGCCGCAAUUCCGAGACGGGAACAACCGAGACCGAGGUUAAGGCCCCAAAGUGCUGGCUGAACGAUUUUGAAGGAGUCUGUCCCCUAAGACAUCGGGGAUGUGGGCCUAAUAGUGGCUAUCAUCUAAGGAGUGUGUAACAACUCACCCGACGAGGGGAUAGGCUCCGAAAACGGACGGGUCUAAGCCAGCCGCCGAGACCUCGGUCCGCUGGCAUUGCCAGCGUGAGGUAGGCGGGCGUCCCGAUGGCCUAGAAGGGUUCCUGAAAGGGAGCCUGGAGCCGUCGGGAAUGAAGAUCCCCGCGGUAGUAAGAAUCAGACGGGUGAGAAUCCCGUCGGCCGAAGGGGGAAAGGUUUCCCAGGCAAUGAAAAUCAGCCUGGGGUUAGUCGAUCCUAAUUCAGGCUCCGAGUGGAGUCUGGAGAAAGGGAAAGGGGUUAAUAUUCCCCUACCGCUCCGAUAGAUGCGGUAACGCAACAUCCUUUCCCGACCCGGAAGGCUAGGCAUACACGGGGGUGGGGUAAAACUCACUUACCGUGCUAAGGGGGAUAGGACCGGGGAGUGCCGUCAUGGCGAGAACCGGUCUAAACCCUAAUGGGCCCGAAAGGGUUAUGCCGAGGCCUUCCGGCAAUGAAAAGGGAAAGGAUGCGAUUCGGAGCGAUCGUACCGAAAUCCAGAAUAGGUCCCCUGGGUGAGCAGCCUAAGGCCGUGGGGGUCAAGCCGGUCCAGGGAACUUGGCAAAUUGGUCCCGUAACUUCGGGAGAAGGGAUGCCUGCGGUGUAGACCGCAGGUCGCAGUGACAAGGGCGGGCGGACUGUUUAUCAAAAACAUAGCUCCCAGCAAGCCCGAAAGGGUUUGUACUGGGGGUGACGUCUGCUCAGCACCGGUAUCUGAAUCCCCCGUUCAAGGGGGGUAAGGACCGGUAAACGGCGGGGGUAACUCUGACCCUCUUAAGGUAGCGUAAUGCCUUGCCAGUUAAAUGCUGGCUCUGCGAACGACGUAACUAGCCCGCCACUGUCCCGGGCCGGCGCCCCCUGAAAAGCUAUCCUGGUGAGAAGGCCAGGGACUUCCGAUGGGUAAAAAAGACCCCGUGAAGCUUAACCGCAGCCUGUUGUUGCUCUGAAGAACCUGGUGUGUAGGGUAGCGGGGAGCAAUGAAUUCCUGCCGCUAGGUAGGAAGGAUGCGACGAUGAAACACCCGCCUCCAGGUUCUUCAGGGCUAACCCGAAAGGGGACAGCGGCAGGUGGGCGGUUUGGCUGGGGCGGCACCUUGCCGAAAAGGUAUCGGCAGGGUCCAUAAGGUCAGCUCAGGCGGGUCAGGAAUCCGCCGUAGAGGACAAGGCCAAAAGCUGGCCUGACUGUGCCCUGACCAUCAAGGGGCACAGGGGGGAAACCCGGGCCUAGCGAACCCCGUACUCUCACUAGUGGGGGUACGGGCUGGCGGAAAAGCUACUCCGGGGGUAACAGCGCCGUCGCGGGCGAGAGCCCCCAUUGACCCCGCGGUUUGCGACAUCGAUGUCGUCUCUCCCCAUCCUGGUGGUGCAGAAGCCGCCAAGGGUGGGGGUGUCCACCCAUUAAAGGGGAUCGUGAGAUGGGUUCAGAACGCCGCGAGGCAGUUCGGUUAUAACUGUCGGAAGUGCUGGCUGCCUGAGGGGAAGGUCCGCCUAGUACGAAAGGAACGGCGGGCCGGGGCCUCUGGUAUACGGGCUGUCCGAGAAGGGCAUGCCCGGUAGCUACGCCCUAGGGGAUAAGCCCUGAAAGCAUCUAAGGGUGAAGCCCCCCUCAAAAAUAGGCAGCCGUUAAGGGGUCGGAUAAAAGAUCCGACUCAGAGCGGCGGUGUAAGCUCCGAAAAGGAGUUCAGCCGACCGCUUGAAGUUCCCGUGAGACUAUAUA
rfam:Candidatus Nanopusillus sp. Nst1 Nst1_C2, whole genome shotgun sequence.